AUCCGGCAGGAGUUGCGUAUUCGGGGUUGUGGGACUUUUCAGGUUGCUCUGCCGAGCAGCCGGCGUUACAAGAAGGUAUAGACGAACUGGAUUGAAAGCCAGGUCAUAGAGGGUGCCAACCCCGUAGUCGAAAUGCCUCUCUUGACGCGAAGAGUAUCCCAAGUAGCACGGGGCCCGAGAAAUCCCGUGUGAAUCUGUCAGGACCACCUGAUAAGCCUAAAUACUCCCAGAUGACCGAUAGCGGACAAGUACCGUGAGGGAAUGGUGAAAAGCACCCCGGGAGGGGAGUGAAAUAGUACCUGAAACCGUUUGCUUACAAACCGUUGGAGCCUCCCUAGUAGGGGUGACAGCGUGCCUUUUGAAGAAUGAGCCUGCGAGUUAGUGGUGUGUGGCGAGGUUAACCCGGGUGGGGAAGCCGUAGCGAAAGCGAGUCCGAAUAGGGCGUUUGAGUCGCAUGCUCUAGACCCGAAGCGGAGUGAUCUACCCAUGGCCAGGUUGAAGCGCGGGUAAGACCGCGUGGAGGACCGAACCCACCAGGGUUAAAAACCUGGGGGAUGAGCUGUGGGUAGGGGUGAAAGGCCAAUCAAACUUCGUGAUAGCUGGUUCUCUCCGAAAUGCAUUUAGGUGCAGCGUUGCGUGUUUCUUGCCGGAGGUAGAGCUACUGGAUGGCUAAUGGGCCCCACCGGGUUACUGACGUCAGCCAAACUCCGAAUGCCGGUAAGUGAGAGCGCAGCAGUGAGACUGUGGGGGAUAAGCUUCAUAGUCGAGAGGGAAACAACCCAGACCACCAACUAAGGUCCCAAAGACUACACUAAGUGGAAAACGUUGUGGGAGUGCAUAGACAGC
rnacentral:rRNA from 1 species